rnacentral:rRNA from 1 species
GAUCCUGGCUCAGGACGAACGCUGGCGGCGUGCCUAACACAUGCAAGUCGAACGGAGAAUUAGCAAUAAUUCUUAGUGGCGAACGGGUGAGUAACGCGUGGGCAAUCUGCCCUCUAGAUGGGGACAACAUUCCGAAAGGAGUGCUAAUACCGAAUGUGUUCAGUGAGUUGCAUAACUUGCUGAAGAAAGAUGGCCUCUAUUUAUAAGCUAUCGCUGAAGGAUGGGCCUGCGCCUGAUUAGCUAGUUGGUGGGGUAACGGCCUACCAAGGCGAUGAUCAGUAGCCGGUCUGAGAGGAUGAACGGCCACAUUGGGACUGAGACACGGCCCAAACUCCUACGGGAGGCAGCAGUGGGGAAUAUUCCGCAAUGGACGAAAGUCUGACGGAGCAACGCCGCGUGAGUGAUGAAGGUUUUCGGACUGUAAAGCUCUGUUGUUUAGGACGAAAGUGCCUGUUGCGAACAGUUACAGGUAUUGACGGUACUGAACGAGGAAGCCACGGCUAACUACGUGCCAGCAGCCGCGGUAAUACGUAGGUGGCAAGCGUUGUCCGGAAUUAUUGGGCGUAAAGAGCAUGUAGGCGGGAAUCUAAGUCUGUUGUGAAAAUGCGGGGCUCAACCCCGUAUGGCGAUGGAAACUGGAUUUCUUGAGUGCAGGAGAGGAAAGGGGAAUUCCCAGUGUAGCGGUGAAAUGCGUAGAUAUUGGGAGGAACACCAGUGGCGAAGGCGGCCUUUCUGGACUGCGUCUGACGCUGAGAUGCGAAAGCCAGGGUAGCGAACGGGAUUAGAUACCCCGGUAGUCCUGGCCGUAAACGAUGGGUACUAGGUGUAGGGGGUAUCGACCCCUCCUGUGCCGGAGUUAACGCAAUAAGUACCCCGCCUGGGGAGUACGGCCGCAAGGUUGA